GGGGGGAGGCUGGAUCCUGGGUUGUGUCCCGGCACCCAGUGCUCAGGGCCUGCGCCGUUGGAUUCUUGCUCCCGGCCCGCAGCCCCCU
rnacentral:pre_miRNA from 1 species